AUUUGACUGACCCAAGAUUCAUUCCCAGAAAUUGAAAUGUUGUUUCCAGGAGGAGUUAAAUGUGCUCGAAAGAGACGAUUGCAUCAGAGUGGAGCACAUGACUCCAUAAAGCAAUCACCCUCCUCACUGGUUGCAUAGAAACCCGGAAGAGGAGCAUCUGGAUCUGGGAGGAGAAGCCAUGGAAGCCAAGCGGAGAUUGGAUGAGAAAUUCUCAACACAUAUGAAGCCAAAAAACCAGAGCCACAACCAGAAAACGAAGAACCUUAUUCAUGG